rnacentral:rRNA from 1 species
AUUGAACGCUGGCGGCAGGCCUAACACAUGCAAGUCGAACGAGCGGCGGGCGGGUGAGUACUGUAUGGGGACUGCGCGAUCGAGGGGGAUAACUGCUGGACACGGUAGCUAAUACAGCAUCCUAUCGGAUUACGCAUAUGGGAUUAGAUAGAAGGUGGGGUAAUGUCUAACCUAGGCGACGAUCCCUAGCUGGUCUGAGAGGAUGAGCAGCCACACUGGGAAUGAGACACGGCCCAGACUCCGACGGAGGCAGCAGUGGGGAAUAUUGCACAAUGGGCGCAAGCCUGAUGCAGCCAUGCCGCGUGUAUGAAGAAGGCCUUCGGGUUGUAAAGUACUUUCAGUGGGGAGGCGUUACCGGCAGAAGAAGCACCGGCUAACUCCGUGCCAGCAGCCGCGGUAAUUC